AGGAACUUAGGGGCCCUCUCUGGAUUGGGUUGUUCAUAAGGAUCUUUGUGGAGAGGCAAGUGUGAUCCUUCUAGUAUUACUACCUCAGAGUGGGGAGGGAGAGACUGAGGUUUGGAUUUCUGAGAUGGCUCUACUCAGUUACUCUGACUGCUCAUGGAUUAGGAACUGCUUGCCUAGAGAAGAAAGAAGCAUGGUGGGGGUGGAACAAACCAGGAGGCAAUGUCUCAGUGGUAUGAAGGUAGAUGGAGUGAGGCUGCCUGUGUGGUUUCCCAGACCUCCCAUAAUGCGUUCUGCUCAUCCUCUGAACUAGUUUCUUCAGUUAUAUCGCUUAAGGAAAAAGAAUGGUUUAGCUGAUGCCUCAAUCACUGCUGAAGCCAGGCAUCCAAGAGCCCAGAGCCCACUUUGCCACUCAACUGGAGAACCAAAGAACUGUAAAUUGACAUAUACAAAUAGAAAAAGAUGAGUUUCCUUUUAUGCUGUACACCUACACCAGUUGUAAUCUCUACCCCCGUGUGACACUUGUCCCACCUGUCUUGAUCUGGUAAUUAGCAUUUGGGUAAACAGCUCUACUUAACAUCUUGCUGGCUUCAUGGAGGAUUUCAGCCAAUGUGUCCAUGUGAUCAUGACAUUAUGAGUUGAGGGAACAUUCCUUCUAUCUGAAUGAUAUCUAGUAAGAUCCUGUAGUGUCAAAGUACGCUUUCAAUUCAUAAGUUGCCAUUCUCCCACCCCACCAUUCCCAUUGCACCUCCCCCAUCCAGGAAGUUCACAUGUAUACAGAGCAGCUGGAUGGAAACAAGUACAAGUAUUUGUUAAUUAAGAGGCACCUAAGAGAAGCUUGGGGAUGAUUGGGAAAAAGGCAGGGUUAGGAUCUUUGAUUUGGAAGCAAAUGCUUAAAAAGGUGCCACCUUUGAUUAACUUUUCUCUCUGUGUCUCAAAAUUCUGUAUUCCUAUGGAUUCUUUUCAUAAUUUUUCAUCACAAUCUUAAAGAAGGACUGCUCCACUAUGUUACCUUUAAAAAGGUGUCAUUUUUGGAGAAUGUACUUAGAGAGUAACUGUGGCCCUUUCUCAUUCCCCACCCCAGUUACCUUCUGGACUACUCUGCCAUAUGCAGAAAAGAGUCCUAUGUGUUUAUCAAAUUUGGUGCUAAAAUUUUGACUUUUAGGCCAAAUUCCUUAACCAUAUAUGACCCCAAAUUUUUG
rnacentral:lncRNA from 1 species